rnacentral:rRNA from 1 species
GCACAAGCGGUGGAGCAUGUGGUUUAAUUCGACGAUACACGAAGAACCUUACCUGGACUUGACAUAGUAAGAACUUUCUAGAGAUAGAUUGGUGUCUGCUUGCAGAAACUUAUAUACAGGUGCUGCACGGCUGUCGUCAGCUCGUGUCGUGAGAUGUUGGGUUAAGUCCCGCAACGAGCGCAACCCUCGUCAUUAGUUGCUAACAGUUCGGCUGAGAACUCUAAUGAGACUGCCUACGCAAGUAGGAGGAAGGUGAGGACGACGUCAAGUCAUCAUGGCCCUUACGUCCAGGGCUACACACGUGCUACAAUGGGAUAUACAAAGAGCGGCAAUACGGUGACGUGGAGCAAAUCUUAUAAAAUAUCUCCCAGUUCGGAUUGUAGUCUGCAACUCGACUACAUGAAGUUGGAAUCGCUAGUAAUCGUAGAUCAGCUAUGCUACGGUGAAUACGUUCCCGGGC